CCCACCUGCUUGGCCCAACACUACAUCCCAAAACCAACGAAAGGGAAGGGAAAGUCUGGAAUAAGCAGAAACGAAACAAAUCGCUUAUCUAAAAAUCUAAUCCACCACGAACAUUUCCUUCGAGCGAAAGUCAAGAUCGCGCCUGUCGUCGUCAUUUCGCGAUCGCGUCUUCAUCACAUCCGCUCAUGGAUUCAUGCUUCUUACAUCGCCGCGUCGCUCUUCAAACUCAAGAUCGAUCGACGAUUUAAUUGUUCACCCAACAUCACGACGGAAAAGCUUCAGCUCUUGCGUUCAUGGAUAGCGCUCAAGAUUCAAUGAUUUGAAGCCAAAAGAUGCAGUAAUUCAACUCAACCGAAUCGAAACAAACAUUGCAAUGUAAAACGAUAUGGGCGUGAAUUGAAGCGAGGACGAAAACUCACUGGUUUGGGAGCGGGUAUGAAUUCUUCUUGAUAAUUCUGAAUACUUUCCCUAUGAUAAAUCGUACGCGGCGGGGAGCUACGUAAGUUUGUUGCAUUUUCUGCGUAUGUUUGCGAGUCGGUGUAUGUGAUGUGUAUCUGCGUAUUAUCGUUGCAGAUCGCAGAGUUGAUGCAGAACUGGUGUGGUGCAAUACCGGUUGAAGAAGGUGGUUUACUGUGAUUGAUUGAUUGAAAUCAAUUCCUUUGAGUCGACACAGAAAUUUAAGAGGUAUAUUGAGGAGUGGAGAUUGAAGAGGAUAAACGGCAAGGAAACACGCUUAUGUAUCAAGACAAAAGCGCUUAAACAAAAAGCUCCAAGCAUCAAUCACCAUGGUAUCGCAUUUGGAAAUACCGGCAUCAUCGUGUUGGCAUCGGAGGAACGCCGCGUACGUCGCAAAUCGGCUUCCAAUCUUUAUCAUCCUCGGGUUCGAUACAAGUGGAAGCGAGAAAAAACAGAUAAAUUGAAAAGGAGAAGUGCUUAUCGAUACGUACUGGAGAGCAAUAGAGGUCCUUGAUUUCACGUUUGCCAAUCGAUGCGGAUGGUAAUCGCUUCUUAAAUCGAUCCGUGCCGGGAUCGCCGUAACUCGACAAAUCAAUACCAACUUCAAAGGUACGAGCUUCUCGAUCUAUUCCAGUUCUUCAAGGCUUCUCUUCUUCUUCUUCAAUAUGUGUUGUGCAUUUUGGUUGCGUGAAGAGUAAUGGAGUUGCAGAGGAUGGAGAUUACUGCAAAAUGAUGCAGAUUGAUGAAGAAAGAGUUGCAGAAUCCUGAAAAGAGAGUCUGCAGAGUGAGAUAAAUGAGGAAGUGCGAAAGUGCAGAAUGAUGAUGAAGCGUGGAAGCAUGGAAUGAAGCAGAAGGAAGAUGGCGGAAUCAAGGAGAUGAAGGUGAGUCUUGGACAAUGAAAGAUGAACCGAAAACUCCCUGAAGAUUGGAGUCUCAAGAGUGAUGAAGAUGAAGAAUGAGCAAUGAAUCCAAAAUCCGAUGAAUACUCCACUCGGGGUCGGAUAAAUGUUGGUUUGCUGUUAGCGUAGGAUUCAAUUUGUUGCUGAAUGAAAACUGCAGGAUGUUAGCUAUGCAGACUGGUUUAUACUGUCAAUUCUGCGAUUGUUAUGUUAAAUGGCUAAACUGGUUUUGCUGUGUUAAUUGUUACAUGAUUAAUUAUUGUUAUAAUUUGACUGAGGCUGGCUGCGGGGUCGUAAAUGCCGGAGCUAUCACGGAGGAGACUGCUAUCACAAAUGACUUUUUUUGUGUUGUCCAUCAGUUGGCUAGGCGUGUUUUGCUACACUUCUGUCAUAAAUUCCAGUUAUCAUUGUUUUCUGUACAUUUUCGGCUGCAAUAAAACCUAAUUAAAAUCAAA